GACGAACGCUGGCGGCGUGCUUAACACAUGCAAGUCGAACGGAAAGGCCCUGCUUUUGUGGGGUGCUCGAGUGGCGAACGGGUGAGUAACACGUGAGUAACCUGCCCUUGACUUUGUGAUAACUUCAGGAAACUGGGGCUAAUACCGGAUAGGAGCUCCUGCUGCAUGGUGGGGGUUGGAAAGUUUCGGCGUUUGGGGAUGGACUCGCGGCUUAUCAGCUUGUUGGUGGGGUAGUGGCUUACCAAGGCUUUGACGGGUAGCCGGCCUGAGAGGGUGACCGGCCACAUGGGGACGGAGAUACGGACCAGAGUACUACGGGAGGCAGCAGUGGGGAAUAUUGCACAAUGGGAGGAAGCCUGAUGCAGCAACGCCGCGUGCGGGAUGACGGCAUUCGGGUUGUAAACCGCUUUCGCCUGUGACGAAGCGUGAGUGACGGUAAUGGGUAAAGAAGCACCGGCUAACUACGUG
rnacentral:rRNA from 1 species